rnacentral:rRNA from 1 species
CUAUGAGAAGUCUGAGGCAGCAACUGCCGCGUGAAUGAUGAAGGCCUUCGGAUCUGUAAAACUCUUUUGUCAGGGAGGAAGGGUACCGGAUUAACUGUUUGUACCUUGACGGUACCUGAACAAAAAGCCACGGCUAACUACGUGCCAGCAGCCGCGGUAAUAA